rnacentral:rRNA from 1 species
UGCUGGAGGUAUCAGAAGUGCGAAUGCUGACAUAAGUAACGAUAAAGCGGGUGAAAAGCCCGCUCGCCGGAAGACCAAGGGUUCCUGUCCAACGUUAAUCGGGGCAGGGUGAGUCGACCCCUAAGGCGAGGCCGAAAGGCGUAGUCGAUGGGAAACAGGUUAAUAUUCCUGUACUUGGUGUUACUGCGAAGGGGGGACGGAGAAGGCUAUGUUGGCCGGGCGACGGUUGUCCCGGUUUAAGCGUGUAGGCUGGUUUUCCAGGCAAAUCCGGAAAACCAAGGCUGAGGCGUGAUGACGAGGCACUACGGUGCUGAAGCGACAAAUGCCCUGCUUCCAGGAAAAGCCUCUAAGCAUCAGGUAACAUCAAAUCGUACCCCAAACCGACACAGGUGGUCAGGUAGAGAAUACCAAGGCGCUUGAGAGAACUCGGGUGAAGGAACUAGGCAAAAUGGUGCCGUAACUUCGGGAGAAGGCACGCUGAUAUGUAGGUGAAGCGACUUGCUCGUGGAGCUGAAAUCAGUCGAAGAUACCAGCUGGCUGCAACUGUUUAUUAAAAACACAGCACUGUGCAAACACGAAAGUGGACGUAUACGGUGUGACGCCUGCCCGGUGCCGGAAGGUUAAUUGAUGGGGUUAGCGGCAACGCGAAGCUCUUGAUCGAAGCCCCGGUAAACGGCGGCCGUAACUAUAACGGUCCUAAGGUAGCGAAAUUCCUUGUCGGGUAAGUUCCGACCUGCACGAAUGGCGUAAUGAUGGCCAGGCUGUCUCCACCCGAGACUCAGUGAAAUUGAACUCGCUGUGAAGAUGCAGUGUACCCGCGGCAAGACGGAAAGACCCCGUGAACCUUUACUAUAGCUUGACACUGAACAUUGAGCCUUGAUGUGUAGGAUAGGUGGGAGGCUUUGAAGUGUGGACGCCAGUCUGCAUGGAGCCGACCUUGAAAUACCACCCUUUAAUGUUUGAUGUUCUAACGUUGGCCCGUAAUCCGGGUUGCGGACAGUGUCUGGUGGGUAGUUUGACUGGGGCGGUCUCCUCCUAAAGAGUAACGGAGGAGCACGAAGGUUGGCUAAUCCUGGUCGGACAUCAGGAGGUUAGUGCAAUGGCAUAAGCCAGCUUGACUGCGAGCGUGACGGCGCGAGCAGGUGCGAAAGCAGGUCAUAGUGAUCCGGUGGUUCUGAAUGGAAGGGCCAUCGCUCAACGGAUAAAAGGUACUCCGGGGAUAACAGGCUGAUACCGCCCAAGAGUUCAUAUCGACGGCGGUGUUUGGCACCUCGAUGUCGGCUCAUCACAUCCUGGGGCUGAAGUAGGUCCCAAGGGUAUGGCUGUUCGCCAUUUAAAGUGGUACGCGAGCUGGGUUUAGAACGUCGUGAGACAGUUCGGUCCCUAUCUGCCGUGGGCGCUGGAGAACUGAGGGGGGCUGCUCCUAGUACGAGAGGACCGGAGUGGACGCAUCACUGGUGUUCGGGUUGUCAUGCCAAUGGCACUGCCCGGUAGCUAAAUGCGGAAGAGAUAAGUGCUGAAAGCAUCUAAGCACGAAACUUGCCCCGAGAUGAGUUCUCCCUGAGACUUAGAGUCUCCUGAAGGAACGUUGAAGACGACGACGUUGAUAGGCCGGGUGUGUAAGCGCAGCGAUGCGUUGAGCUAACCGGUACUAAUGAACCGUGAGGCUUAACC